rnacentral:rRNA from 1 species
UACCAGCACCCCGAGUGGUCGGGACGAUUAUUGGGCCUAAAGCAUCCGUAGCCGGUCCUGCAAGUCUUCCGUUAAAUCCAGCUGCUCAACAGAUGGGCUGCGGGGGAUACUACAGGGCUAGGAGGCGGGAGAGGCAAGCGGUACUUUAUGGGUAGGGGUAAAAUCCGUUGAUCCAUAGAAGACCACCAGUGGCGAAGGCGGCUUGCCAGAACGCGCUCGACGGUGAGGGAUGAAAGCUGAGGGAGCAAACCGG